rnacentral:rRNA from 1 species
CAGCAGUGGGGAAUAUUGCACAAUGGGCGCAAGCCUGAUGCAGCCAUGCCGCGUGAAUGAUGAAGGUCUUAGGAUUGUAAAAUUCUUUCACCGGGGACGAUAAUGACGGUACCCGGAGAAGAAGCCCCGGCUAACUUCGUGCCAGCAGCCGCGGUAAUACGAAGGGGGCUAGCGUUGCUCGGAAUUACUGGGCGUAAAGGGAGCGUAGGCGGACAUUUAAGUCAGGGGUGAAAUCCCGGGGCUCAACCUCGGAAUUGCCUUUGAUACUGGGUGUCUUGAGUGUGAUAGAGGUAAGUGGAACUCCGAGUGUAGAGGUGAAAUUCGUAGAUAUUCGGAAGAACACCAGUGGCGAAGGCGACUUACUGGAUCAUUACUGACGCUGAGGCUCGAAAGCGUGGGGAGCAAACAGGAUUAGA